rnacentral:rRNA from 1 species
UACGGAGGGUGCGAGCGUUGUCCGGAAUCACUGGGCGUAAAGCGCACGUAGGCGGCGCAGCAAGUCAGGGGUGAAAUCCCGGGGCUCAACCCCGGAACUGCCCUUGAAACUGCAGUGCUAGAAUCCUGGAGAGGCGAGUGGAAUUCCGAGUGUAGAGGUGAAAUUCGUAGAUAUUCGGAAGAACACCAGUGGCGAAGGCGACUCGCUGGACAGGUAUUGACGCUGAGGUGCGAAAGCGUGGGGAGCAAACAGG